GAAAGGAGCCGAUCUCAUUACUGAGGCCCGGACACAUUAUUUUCUCCAAGGAAUUUCUUCUUUUCAUUAUUUCCCUCCAAAGAUAGCAGUCCAGCCAUCCUUGCUAAGUUCCUGAGAUUCCCUCCAAGGUCUGGGCUUUUCUCCAACACGUGGCUCCCUGCUACCAUCUGAGAAGUCCCUGAUGCUGAGGUCUCUGCUGACUUGCCCCGAAGGAUUGCCGACACAAGGACAUUUAUGUCUUCCCCACAGGGAAAAACACCCCAUUAGAAGGCAGAAGUCUGGUUACUCAUAGGAUCUCCAGGGAGCUGCAGUGACACCAGAGGAGGGCUACUGGAAAUGGCACCAGGACAUCAUAUGUGUUUUCCAGAUCCCAACAUGGAAGAAUUGGAAAGGGAAAGGCAUUAUAUACUCAAGGAUGCUGGUGGAGUUUAUCCCCAGCCUGUUGUGUUUCCGGGCCUCGGCUUGGAGACAGAGGUGGCUUCCUCCCUUCCCUGGGGGAGGCUUCAUUCCUGACUCCUGACCUGCCUCUUCUCUAGAGCAGGUCCUGCAUCCUUACUCUCUGAGUGAUCCUGACUGGCAAGAAGGGACAGCAGUGAAGAGCCUAACAGAACCAAGCCUAUGGCUCCUGCUUCUCAGCCUGGCAAGCCCACCUGCAGGAAACCUGAUUGCACCCUCAUGGGACCAUCCCUUCUCUGUCCCCAAAGCACCCAGUACACCUGGGCCUUCUUCAGGAUCCCACUCUUUCCCUUCUCCCCUCCUUUCUUUCUUCCUCCACCUCUGCCUUUCUCCUUUCUGCCACGCACUGCCUGACCCAUCAGAUGUCAGUGUUUGCUGGUUAGACUGCAGUGGCGGAGAGCAGUCUCUCCAGGUUGACCUCCAUCUCUGCCGUACACGGCUUUGGGAAGUUCCUCUGGCGCUCCAGGCUUUCAUUUCAUCGCCUUGAAUGAAGGUUCUUCUGGGGGAUGAAAUAAAGUAGUCGUUGGUCGUCGCUCUGUCAAGACUGAUAGAUGAGUAAAUCCCGGAGACUUCAGAAAAGGAAGCCAGAGGAAACUGCCACCCUGCUGAGCCCCGGAGCUGCUGGCAGGCAGAGCCCCCUCUCUCUAAGUCACUACCAGACAGGCUGGCAGGAAAGUCUGCAAGAAUAUGGGCUUGAUGACAGGGAUGUCCUAAGAGGGAUGUCUCCAAGUCCAACCUCUGCCCUUGGAUCUCUCAGGUGCGAAGAAAGCACAGGUUCCCCUGUGGUAUCCAGCCCUCUGUGAGUCCCACCAUCUGCUGGAUCCAGAAGGGCCUCCUCUCUUCACAGGGAGCCCGAGGCAUUGCUUUCACUAAGGGCCCAGAAAAACUGCAAGCUUUGGUGCUGAGAGCCCCCCAAGCUCCCCGCGAAUGCCGUGAUUGCUAAAAAUUUGCUUCAUUCUGAUUUUGCCUCUUGCUGGCUGAAGGACUGGAUUUUAUACCAGGUCAAUUUCAGACCAUUUGAUAUUGAUAUAUGAAGAUCCCAGGGGAUUACUGAAUGCAUUUCUCAUCCUGCCUAGAUAGUAUCAUAGAAGGAAAAUGGGAUUGACUGUUAAGGACAAAUUGAGAAAGACAUGGCCAUUUAAGAUAACUCCUUAUCUGUAUACAAGCAAAUGGUAUCUGGGAAAUAGACCACCAGUUGACAGCAAGAAAUUCUACUCCGGGCUCUUCACCCACUCUCUCUUCUGCCGUUAACACUCAGGGAUUAUCCCGUUAUCCCGAGUGCUGUAUCCUGGGGGCCCCUGCUGGAGGGCACCAGAGAAGAGGGGUUUUUGAGACUUUAUUCUGAAAGGGUUGGGUGGGAGGGGCUGGGAUUGUCCAUGGAUACUCUGAGGAGUUUGGGAUGGAAUGGCUUUGAAUGUGACAGAUCUCCCCAGGACUUGGAGAAUGGUUCUCUCAGGGUGCGCAUGUGGCUUGAUGGAUGGAGGGUUGAACUUACCACAUUGUGAGUGAUCUUUGGGGUGAUCUUUUCACUCUCCUCGGUCAAGGGUGCCACUGAAGGCUCACGCCUAUGCUAACACUUUCCUGAGUCAUGAACUUGUGGAAACUUACUGGAGCCCCACGUUGGUUGGAGAACUUACUCCAAACCUCUGCUGGUUGGGGAAGCAGCUAUGCAGCUCGAGGUCCUGCUUUCCUUGGUGUUGGGGUACGGAUCCCACAGAUCCGUUGAUUGGUCCCAUUUGGUGGGCAUGUGUGCUGUGGGUUCUUGAAGGGGUCAAGGGUUGAUGUGGGGGUCUACCACAGUCCUCCAUGAUCAGGUACAUGUUCCCAUCUCUGUCCUUUAUCCACCCUGCUCCCAGCAGGGUGGAUUUCACAGGGGAAGGAUUCUGGAGACCAAGAGGAGCCAGGAGACCUGGGGUCUUCAAAGUCAAAGCUCUGGAAGUUUCUGAUGUCAGAUCCAUUAUUCCCCAGAUCACGGUCAUAGUUUAUCUUCUCCGUUGCUGUGAUAAAAAUACUCUGAUGAGAAGC
rnacentral:lncRNA from 1 species